rnacentral:misc_RNA from 1 species
CUCUCUCGCAAGUGUUGGCACCACGCCGGCAGGCGUCUGCCCGAAACGCGACCGUCUAAAACAGUUAAGCUUGUUACAGACUCACGAU